GAAAACAAUGACAGCAACUUUUUUUACUUUCUUUUUUACACCCCCACUCUAGGAGGCGGAUUUACUGUGUAAAAACGAAAGUAAAAAUCCAAAGCCUCCCAAAUGGGAGGCUUUUUUGUC
rfam:Shewanella putrefaciens CN-32, complete genome.